CCCCGCNCCCGUCCCGCCGCCCCCGCCCGACGGGGUGCAGCAGGCGCGAAACCUUUACACUGCACGACAGUGCGAUAGGGGGAUCCCAAGUGCACAGGCAUAGCGCCUGUGCUUUUNGGNACCCUAAGGCGGUACCAGAAUAAGGGCUGGGCAAGACCGGUGCCAGCCGCCGCGGUAAUACCGGCAGCCCAAGUGAUGGCCGAUCUUAUUGGGCCUAAAGCGUCCGUAGCUGGCCGCGCAAGUCCAUCGGGAAAUCCACCUGCUCAACAGGUGGGCGCCCGGUAGAAACUGCGUGGCUUGGGACCGGAAGGCGCGACGGGUACGUCCGGGGUAGGAGUGAAAUCCCGUAAUCCUGGACGGACCGCCGAUGGCGAAAGCACGUCGCGAGAACGGAUCCGACAGUGAGGGACGAAAGCCAGGGUCUCGAACCGGAUUAGAUACCCGGGUAGUCCUGGCCGUAAACAAUGUCUGCUAGGUGUGGCUCCCACUACGAGUGGGUGCUGUGCCGUAGGGAAGCCGCUAAGCAGACCGCCNGGAANGNU
rnacentral:rRNA from 1 species